AAACCUUAUUCAAUACUACAUACAUCUGCUUGAUAUAAUCAUGAUAAAAGCAUCACAUCACUUAGAAAUACCCUUACAUGUAUACCCUCCCCCUAUCUUUUGAUUUUCACAAGAAGUAUUAGUUUGAACACUUUAACCUAAUAUUAUGAAACUUGUGGCAGUUUCCUUGAGUCAUUUCUUACACAUAUUUGAAAACAACCAUCACUGAUAUUUAAAAUUGAUCUUUGUUUGGUAAAUGGAUGAUUUGUAGCAUUUUUAUUCACAAAAAGUCAUGUCGCCCUACAUGUGAUUUCUUGUUUUCAUGAAAAACUAAGCCUGUAAUCAUAUUUAGUGGAUAUCUUAUAUAUUCUGGUUUCUAGUCUCCUUUUAACUUUGCUAAAUUAGUAAGACCUACGAGUGUGAUGUGUGCGUUUAAUUAAAAUGAAAUUCAAACACACCCGGGUACCUGGGGACGGAUGAGAAUUCCAUGAAAAAUGUUCAAAUUUUUCAUGUUUUUCUACAUUUUUGAUGCAUUUAUACAAUAAAAGGGUAAAA
rnacentral:sRNA from 1 species